CGCUCAUGCCGCGCCGCGUGCGUGCGAGACAACCGCACAAACCCUACCCCCAAUCCAUAGCCGCCACUCCCUCCCUCCUCCUCCUUCCUCCCUCGUCUGCCGCCGCCACUCCCUCCCUCCUUGUCGCCCUGCCUCCGCCCAGCUUCGCCGCCUCCCGCGCGCUCGUCCUCUCAUUUCCCAUGGAGGGGAGGGGUGGGGAUGUAGGGGAAGGAGGAAGCCGGAGAUGCUUCUGCUGCUGACGUCCAUGGAGACGCUGCUGCUGCGGAUCGAGAAAGCAAAGAAAUUAGGGGGAGGAUGUGAGAGAGAAGGAAGGAGAGGAGAGGUCAGGGAGAGCCCCGGUGUUUUACCCCUACUGGGGCAUCUCUACUCCAGGGAGAAAGGAGGGGACCAGCGGCACAUGGAGGAGAGGAGGCCAUCAAGGCGAUCGUGGAGGGGGCGGCGGCGUGGGAGAGGAUGGAGCGAGGAGGACAUGAGGCGAAGGGGGAGCGGGGCUGGGGAGUACAUGCCGACGGCCGGUAGGUCAAAUUGUCGCGCCACCGCGUCGUCGCCUCCUCUGCGCCAGGAGGCGCCACCUCUGCCUCCACCCUCCACUAGGCAAGGAGCUCGAGGUGAACAGGCGGUGGGAAGGUGAGAGGAAGUAGGAGCUCAUCUCUCCUCCAAUGGCUCCCUCGUGCAUCUAGAGUAUAAGGAAGACAACACGUGCGUUUUGGAGGCGACUCAAGCAACGCAGGCCAGCGGCAAACUAGGAUAUGCACUCUUGUCUCCGUCGUUAUACCUAUUUUGGAAUCCAUGGCAGCAUGUUGUGCUUUGUCGGCACAUUCGUGCAUGUGUGAGGUCGCAGAUGAAGAAGCCCCGAAUGAUCAUUAUAUUCUCCUCUGAUCUGAUCUUCUAUUGACAUAUGUAAGAUGUACCUUAUUUCCUGGUAUUUCCUGAGAUUCUGGACUGAUUGUUUGACAGUGAUUAUUAUGUAAAAGUGUUUUCAGUUGCUGUUUAGUAUGGAUGCCUCCAUGGUUGAACAGGAUGUGCACUCUUGUCUCCGUCGUUAUACCUAUUUUGGAAUCCAUGGCAGCAUGUUGUGCUUUGUCGGCACAUUCGUGCAUGUGUGAGGUCACAGAUGAAGAAGCACCGAAUGAUCAUUAUAUUUUCCUCUGAUCUGAUCUUCUAUUGACAUAUGUAAGAUGUACCUUAUUUCCUGGUAUUUCCUGAGAUUCUGGACUGAUUGUUUGACAGUGAUUAUUAUGUAAAAGUGUUUUCAGUUGCUGUUUAGUAUGGAUGCCUCCAUGGUUGCAUAGGCAUCCAUGGUUCUGUGAGGAGGUUAUCUAUGUCAUUCUAUUUUAUAUAGAUGUCUAGUUAGGUAAGCAAUCACACAUGGUCCUGUUACUUGUUUGUUUCUUUUGAUCAUCUUGAUGUUGAGUUGUGGGUUUACGAGAUCUUGCUACGCAACUGGUUAUUUCAACAUGAAAAGGAGUACGACUCGGCAAGAACGUCAACUGUAGGCAGGUGCAACAUGGCGUGGCCUCAGCAGCCAAUUAGGUGUUCUCUAUCUUUGCCUAUUGCUUCCUUUGGAACACUGAUUUUGUUUGACUUAUGAAGGCACAUUCAUCCUACAAGAACAAUCAUGAUUAAGAGUCGGGCGCGGCCACCAUGCCAUGUCCAUGGCACCACCGACCCUUCACCCGCCUCCUCUUUGAAGUGCAGCACCAUCGUACCCCCUUUGGCCCUUCCUGUCCAGUUUUGCCUCACCGUGUAAGCAUUCAUCUGCUCCUCCUCUAGCUCUCGUCCUCCUGCUUCUUCUCCUGGGUGGACAUGGACAUUGAACCAUGCUGGAAUGAGCUCGGAAUUGUCCCUUCCAUUCUCCCCAUUUAGCUCAUUUUUUCCCGUGCAAAGGAGGAAGACGGGAGCUGCCUGCCUACCUGCUACCCCAAAAGGAUGCGCCACCCAGUGGAAAUGCCUCUGGCACAGUGGUUUUGGUUCAGUUUGAAGGGCUCUCGGGGCAAAAGAUAAUUGAGUUGUUGAAUCUGAAUGUUAGUCAGUACAAACUUCUACCUGUAAAGUUUAGAUACAAUUAUGUGUCUUGAAUUCUUUUUAUUUCCUGUUUCUUAUGCUAGGCCUAAGAUAGGUGUAUUUGCUAUUUAGGUUGGUUCUAAACUAUAAAAUUAGGAAACAUGUAGUUCAGAAUAAAGAAUGAAAGGCUGAAUUCUUAUUUAAGGAUUACACUCAUGACUUUCAGACUGCUGAACAUAUUUGAUACAUCUUCCACCUCCCCGCUACUACCACCAAGCAUGGAAAGACUGUGAUUGCAGCAGCGACAAUGACUCGUUUCACUCUUUGUCUCAUGAUGAUUGGUUGGCUGCAGGGGCGCCGCGAGGAGUGGAGGAUCGAGGUUGUGGGUUGCCAUCAAGGCAAUUAAUGUUCAGUGGUCAUUGAGGUUUUGAAAGAGCCAUCAAGGCAACGAUCUCAUUUUAUCUCAUGCAUUGAUUUUGUUAUCUUCUUUCUAUGGCAUUUUAUUAAUUAUUUAUAUAUAUUUGCCGUAUUGCCGUUUCUAAAAAUUGCUGUAUCCUUUGUCCCCAUUUCCGUAUCGCCGUAUCUGUGUUGCCGGUGCACUAUAACAAUCACUUAUUGAAGAAAAAUGUCCCUUUUCUUGUUCCCAUUGCUUGAUAGGCAUGAUCGCAUUUCUACCGAUUGAUUAUAAAUAUGGCCUUUCUUUUGAUUAUUUGGUGGUACUUCUGAUUGGCACUAUGAGGUGCUUCUUUGUCGUGUAGAUUCAUCCUUUACUUAAAUACUAAUGAUGAUAUGGUUGUAAAUUAGUCUGGUAUAUGCCAAUAGUUGUCUCUCCCAGAAGAAUUUUUGUGAGAAUAGCGUACCUAAAGAGUUGGUUGUUUGUCUAGAUUGAACACCCAGCUAUAAGAAUGGGUUGACAACACUGAUUGACUCUAUUGGCGCUUCUAUGUUGUCCAGCUUCAUCAUUUACUUAUACACUGAUGAUAUUGUUGUCAGUGUGUUGUAAGUACUUUGGGAAACAAGUCUGGUAUAUUACAAUGAUGUAGUCCUGCAGAUCAGUACAGGUCACCAGCUUUAUAUUGUGGUUAGCGUGUUGUAAGUACUUUGGGAAACAAGUUCUGGGGUAAGUUUAUCUGCUUUCUAAUGCAUUUUAAUACUUGAUUGAUGUCCUGAUAAUUUGUGAAGUUCUGUGUACCAUGUGAUAAGCUGCACAUCAGGUUGCCUGGCAGCUUGUUUGUUGCUUUUAGGAUGUGCAUGUACCUAGGUGGAUCAAAUAUAGAUACCAAUCAUAUAUUAUUAUUUUUACUCGUGUGUUUUUCUUGUGCCUGCCAAACAUUUCGAAAAUUGAUUAUAUCAUUCAGAUGUAUUCAGGCUGGGUUUCUGUGAUCCAAAAAAAAUCAUCUGCCAUGGCUUUUUUUACAUACAAAACUAAGUGUGGAGCAGUGUAUAUGUUCAUUGAUUUCUUAUCACAUCGCAUUUGUCGGAGGUGCUGUACUGAUUUGAAGGAAAUGCUUUUAUAUUUCCAAGUUGAUCAACUACACAACUUCUGAUCCUAAAGCCUUUCUUUAAAAGGGGCUGGUCAAUGCAGCUCCAUGUUGUGCUAUCUUGCUAUUGGGCUCUUUUUUCGUUACUUAAAAUGGUCAGAUAUCUCUGAUGUUAAAUUCGUGGUUGAUUGCUUAUAUCCAAAAUAACUAUGUUAGUACACUGAAGCCAAUUUCUACAUUGUUAGUGAAGUUGGCUAAAUAGUUUUUGUGCCACUAAGAUAUAUAUGUGCACUGCAUUCUAACCCUGUAAAUUGUUGUGCUAUUAGUUUAAUCCAGAAUAUAAUUAUGUUAGUACACUCUGCAAUAUAAUUAUGUUAUAUUCUGCUUUUGUCAGUUUGCUGGUCCAUAUUAAUUUCCUCGAGCUUAUUUUCACAUAUCGUCAUAUUUACACCUCUCCGCCGAUUGCCACCUAUCAUGGAGGGAGAUGGCUUGGCCAGGCCGUCAACACCCAUCGGCAACUUCCGGCAGGCGCCGUCCCGUUCUUCCUCCCCUUACUCUAAUGCCUUCGUGGCCAAAAUCAUUAGCAGGAGCAAGAAGGUUAAGCACCAAUUAUGGUUAAAGCUUUGUCUCUUUUGUGUACUAUGCAUGAUUGAUCUGAUUUUGCUGGUCAGCUUACAAAUUCAAGUAAUACGACUAUUGCAAUGCAUCUUACUACGUGUGUAUUUAUUUGCAUUGAUAUUUUCUCCUCCUUAGGCUCCAAAUCGUUUGUGGGUCAUAAAUUAUUGUGCAUUAUUGAUGAUUAAUUUGCAAUUUAAAUGACAAUAGGGCUGGGUUUUAUAAGUGCAAUGGCUUGAAAUGUGACCUUCGAGUCAAGAAAUUUCCUCAGUGAGAAGCUUAUGUGAAGAAUGAUGUAAUUAAGUUAGCAAUUUACAGUUCUCUUUGAUAAUUGUAACUGAAUUGUCAAUGGCCAGUUCUCUCGAAUAAUGAGUUACUCCCUCAAUUUUACAAUAGAGAUAAUUUGUCAAAAUUGUG